AGAGCGAACGCUGGCGGCAGGCCUAACACAUGCAAGUCGAACGAACUCUUCGGAGUUAGUGGCGGACGGGUGAGUAACACGUGGGAACGUGCCUUUUGGUUCGGAAUAACUCAGGGAAACUUGUGCUAAUACCGAAUGUGCCCUUCGGGGGAAAGAUUUAUCGCCAUUAGAGCGGCCCGCGUCUGAUUAGCUUGUUGGUGGGGUAAUGGCCCACAAGGCUACGAUCAGUAGCUGGUCUGAGAGGAUGACCAGCCACAUUGGGACUGAGACACGGCCCAAACUCCCACGGGAGGCAGG
rnacentral:rRNA from 1 species